ACAAGGUCUCCGUUGGUGAACCAGCGGAGGGAUCAUUACCGAGUUUACAACUCCCAAACCCCUGUGAACAUACCACUUGUUGCCUCGGCGGAUCAGCCCGCUCCCGGUAAAACGGGACGGCCCGCCAGAGGACCCCUAAACUCUGUUUCUAUAUGUAACUUCUGAGUAAAACCAUAAAUAAAUCAAAACUUUCAACAACGGAUCUCUUGGUUCUGGCAUCGAUGAAGAACGCAGCAAAAUGCGAUAAGUAAUGUGAAUUGCAGAAUUCAGUGAAUCAUCGAAUCUUUGAACGCACAUUGCGCCCGCCAGUAUUCUGGCGGGCAUGCCUGUUCGAGCGUCAUUUCAACCCUCAAGCACAGCUUGGUGUUGGGACUCGCGUUAAUUCGCGUUCCCCAAAUUGAUUGGCGGUCACGUCGAGCUUCCAUAGCGUAGUAGUAAAACCCUCGUUACUGGUAAUCGUCGCGGCCACGCCGUUAAACCCCAACUUCUGAAUGUUGACCUCGGAUCAGGUAGGAAUACCCGCUGAACUUAAG
rnacentral:rRNA from 1 species